rnacentral:tRNA from 1 species
GCCACCUUAGCUCAGCUGGCCAGAGCACGUGACUUGUAAUCUCGGGGUCGUCAGUUCGAAUCCGACAGGUGGCU